UACGGAGGGUGCGAGCGUUGUCCGGAAUCACUGGGCGUAAAGGGCGCGUAGGCGGCAUGCCAAGCGUGUGGUGAAAGCCCGGGGCUCAACCCCGGGUCGGCCGUGCGGACUGGCGUGCUCGAGCACUGUAGGGGCGGGUGGAAUUCCGGGUGUAGCGGUGGAAUGCGUAGAGAUCCGGAAGAACACCGGUGGCGAAGGCGGCCCACUGGAUCGGUACUGACGCUGAGGUGCGAAAGCGUGGGGAGCAAACAGG
rnacentral:rRNA from 1 species